UACGUAGGCAGCAAGCGUUGUUCGGAGUUACUGGGCGUAAAGGGCGCGUAGGCGGCUUUUUAAGUUUGGUGUGAAAUCUCCCGGCUCAACUGGGAGGGUGCGCCGAAUACUGAGAGGCUAGAGUGUGGGAGAGGAAAGUGGAAUUCCUGGUGUAGCGGUGAAAUGCGUAGAUAUCAGGAGGAACACCGGUGGUGUAAACGGCUUUCUGGACCAUAACUGACGCUGAUGCACGAAAGCGUGGGUAGCAAACAGG
rnacentral:rRNA from 1 species